rnacentral:lncRNA from 1 species
GCCACUGAGAUUUUCAGACACAAACCAAGAGGACUGAAAAGAUCUCUUUUCAGGGGGGAAAAAAAAUAAAAAGAGUGGAUUUCAAAGGCAUAUUCCCUGUUCUUUGUUACAGUGGGAAGUCCCAGGGACCAAGCUCAAUUGUCCUAUGAAGCUGAACUUUCAUCCUAAUAAUCAGAAGUAGCUUGUGUUGGACUCAACAUGAUCCCAAACUCACCUAAUAGCUGCUUCUGAGAAUGCAAUUUUCAGUCAGGAGCACAAGAGAAGUGCUCAUUAAAAGUGCUCAUGGAACUUCGUUAAAAGUUCCAUGUUUGGCCAAAACCCCAGAAAAAAAAAA